CGGCGCGGCGCGGUGGGUGGCGGCGGCCGCGGCCGCGCGGCGCGGCUGAGGUGGGCCUUGGAGCGCGGCGGGCGCGGCUGAGAAUCCUGAAGGGGACGACUUCUUGCUCCCUCUGCCACCACCAGGAUGCCACUGGGACUCCGGCCACAUCUCCUCCCUCCAAGAUGGCUGCAGUGUCUCCCGCUUCCACGCCGGCCGGCACAGCAGUCAGGUUCUCAGAUCCGCUGAACCUGUGAAUGAUGGCCGCUUCAUUAGACAAGACUCCGUGGGAUCUAUGAUCCUCCCUCCCCAUUCCCCCCUGUAACCUUAUCUCCUCCUGUCCUUUCUCCUUUGCUCACUCUAUUCCUUGCAGCCUUUGCUUCUGUCAGGGGCACCCCUGCCUCAGGGCCUUUGCACUGACUGUAACAUCUGCCUAGUACCUUAGUUGCUUAGAUAUCCACAUAACUCAUCACUCCCUCAUUUCCCUCUGUGUCCUGGAGACCAACCUAAAUCAGUCACCUACAAGCUGCAGUUCCACCUACCUACCCCACUCUCCCUUCACUGCUUUUUUUUUUUUUCAAAUAAUACCACACUCUAACAUACUGUAUAAUUUCCUUAUUUCUUACAUUUAUGGUUUCUCAUCCAUCUCCUCCUACUAGAAUGUAAGCUGUGUGAGGACUAGGAAUUGUGCUUGUUUUGAUAAGGAAUGAGACCAAGUAUCUGAAAUAGCACCCAGAAUGUAGUAGGUGCUCCAUAAAUAUUUGUUGAAUAAAUGGACUUUGAAUAUUUUAUGUAUUUGGAAUAUAAACUUAGUGCAAAGACCUGGUGUUCACUGAUGUGUUUGCAGGGUUUAGCCCAUAAAGUCUCCAUUGCUGUCUGUUGAAUUAUUACAUGAGCAGGCAUUGAAGAAAAUGAUUUUAAAGCUGAAUAUAUAAAUAAGCCUGAAAUUACCAAAGCCUUACACGCCACCUUCCUCUAUAGAAACACCACUAAUCCUGGGAGAAAGAAAAAGAAACACCACUAAAGAAAGAAACACCGCAUAAUCACCACAUUUUAAAUCCCUACGUUGUUACGAUGUGUUAAUC